rnacentral:rRNA from 1 species
UACGUAGGGGGCUAGCGUUGUCCGGAAUCAUUGGGCGUAAAGCGCGUGUAGGCGGUCCGGUAAGUCCGCUGUGAAAGUCGAGGGCUCAACCCUCGAAUGCCGGUGGAUACUGUCGGGCUUGAGUACGGGAGAGGCGAGUGGAAUUCCUGGUGUAGCGGUGAAAUGCGCAGAUAUUGGGAAGAACACCAGUGGCGAAGGCGGUUCUCUGGGACGGUACUGACGCUGAGACGCGAAAGCGUGGGGAGCGAACAGG